rnacentral:rRNA from 1 species
AACGAACGCUGGCGGCAGGCCUAACACAUGCAAGUCGAACGCUCCAGCAAUGGAGAGUGGCAGACGGGUGAGUAACGCGUGGGAACCUUCCCUAUGGUUCGGAAUAGCUCAGGGAAACUUGAGGUAAUACCGGAUAAGCCCUUCGGGGAAAGGAUUUAUCGCCAUUGGAUGGGCCCGCGUAGGAUUAGCUAGUUGGUGAGGUAACGGCUCACCAAGGCGACGAUCCUUAGCUGGUCUGAGAGGAUGAUCAGCCACACUGGGACUGAGACACGGCCCAGACUCCUACGGGAGGCAGCAGUGGGAAUAUUGGACAAUGGGCGCAAGCCUGAUCCAGCCAUGCCGCGUGAGUGACGAAGGCCUUAGGGUUGUAAAGCUCUUUUGGCGGGAAGAUAAUGACGGUACCCGCAGAAUAAGCCCCGGCCAACUACGUGCCAGCAGCCGCCGC